GAUGAAGAACGUAGCGAAAUGCGAUAAGUAAUGUGAAUUGCAGAAUUCAGUGAAUCAUCGAAUCUUUGAACGCACAUUGCGCCCGCCAGUAUUCUGGCGGGCAUGCCUGUUCGAGCGUCAUUACAACCCUCAGGCCCCCGGGCCUGGCGUUGGGGAUCGGCGGAGCCCCCCGUGGGCACACGCCGUCCCCCAAAUACAGUGGCGGUCCCGCCGCAGCUUCCAUCGCGUAGUAGCUAACACCUCGCGACUGGAGAGCGGCGCGGCCACGCCGUAAAACACCCAACUCUUCUGAAGUUGACCUCGAAUCAGGUAGGAAUACCCGCUGAACUUAAGCAUAUCAAUAGCGGAGGA
rnacentral:misc_RNA from 1 species